AACAUCGCGCACCUGCGGGAACCUGCGGAAGGAUCAUUAUCGAGUUGCAAAACUCCAACCCUUUGUGAACAUACCUCAGUCGUUGCUUCGGCGGUGGACGGCCUGUUUUUCGGAACGGCCGGAAGCCGCCGGAGGUUCCAAACUCGUAUUUUUUAGUGUAUCUCUGAGCCUGAAAACAAAUAAUCAAAACUUUUAGCAACGGAUCU
rnacentral:misc_RNA from 1 species